rnacentral:rRNA from 1 species
GCUCGUGACCAGACUUGCGCCGGGCCGAUCAUCCGGUGUUCUCACCGGUGCACUCGGCCCGGUCCAGGCCAGCAUCGGUUCCGGCGGGGGGACAAAAGGCCCGGGAACGUAGCUCCCACGGGAGUGUUAUAGCCCGGGGCACAAUACCCCCGCGGGGACCGAGGACCGCGCUCUGCAAGGAUGCUGGCGUAAUGGUCACCGGCGA